AUUGAACGCUGGCGGCAGGCUUAACACAUGCAAGUCGAGCGGGGGAGGUUGCUUCGGUAACUGACCUAGCGGCGGACGGGUGAGUAAUGCUUAGGAAUCUGCCUAUUAGUGGGGGACAGCAUUCCGAAAGGAAUGCUAAUACCGCAUACGCCCUACGGGGGAAAGCAGGGGAUCUUCGGACCUUGCGCUAAUAGAUGAGCCUAAGUCGGAUUAGCUAGUUGGUGGGGUAAAGGCCUACCAAGGCGACGAUCUGUAGCGGGUCUGAGAGGAUGAUCCGCCACACUGGGACUGAGACACGGCCCAGACUCCUACGGGAGGCAGCAGUGGGGAAUAUUGGACAAUGGGGGGAACCCUGAUCCAGCCAUGCCGCGUGUGUGAAGAAGGCCUUUUGGUUGUAAAGCACUUUAAGCGAGGAGGAGGCUACCGAGACUAAUACUCUUGGAUAGUGGACGUUACUCGCAGAAUAAGCACCGGCUAACUCUGUGCCAGCAGCCGCCGUAACAC
rnacentral:rRNA from 1 species